UUGAACUUGUGAACUGUGAGAUCAUGACCUAAGCUGAAGUCGGAUGCUUAACCAACUGAGUCACCCAGGUGCCUCAAAGGCCUGGUAAUUAUUGAAUGGAGGCUACACACUGUGAAUUUUACAGUUCUGGGUGUUGGAGUUUGGGCAUUUUUCAAAUAUUUUGGACUUUGUUCUGAGACACAUGUUCUGAGACACAGAAAAUUUGAUCCUUUCUAGGCUUGCAUUUAAGCUUUGUUAGGCGGGUUCAGAGCAGCCAUUAAUCUAGGGAUAAUUUGGUCCCAUUACUGAGGUAACACCCUUCUGAGGAACCCUACCUGAUACCCCAUGCGUCAGGAGAUCUUUCCACUCUGGCUAAUGGGAAUACAAACCCAUUCUCAGUGCUCUGUGAACCUUGUGAUAGCUUUGCCUGCUACAUCUGGUAUUUUUCAUUGGCCUCAGAGAGUUUCUUCGUAUGCAUAUGAUGAUCAAUACUCCACUAAAUACAGGAGAAUCCCCUACAGAUUUUCAGUCCUCUCUCCCUCUGUGCAGCUCUCUCCUCUCCGGUACUCUACCUCACAAAUUCUUAUCUACCUUGGCAUCCCAAAACUCUGAACUCUAUGUCUCUAUUCAGGGAGCUGCCGUGUUCCAUGUGGGUAUCCCUCCUUGCACUCUUACCUAUAAACGACCUUUUGACAGUAAACUGGGAUAACUGUAGUACUUUUCUCAUUUGUUUCUCUUUUCUCAGGAAUCACUGUUCUGUAUUCCUAUCGUAAAUAUCUGAAAAUCAUUGUUUUAUAUAUCUUGUCCUGUGUUUCAGUUACUUAAGCUGGAAGACUAAAUCCAAUCCCUGUUGCUCCAUUAUGGCUGAAAAUGGAAAUCCUCCGGGGAUUCCUGGAAGAACACUGUUCUUAUUUAAUACUGACCAAGCUUCUCUGGGGAUGCUGAUCCUUCCGGAUGAUAAGAAUGCUGCCUUCAAGAUCCCCAGGCCCAACAGCAGGCAUUGUUUUCUUGGGGUCUUAUUUCUAGGCAGCAUAUAAAAUAAUCCUCAAGAGAAUAUAGCCAGAUUUGUGACCAAAAAAAUGAAAUGAAAUGAAAUGAAACUUUUCUUUCCUAGCACAGGAUGUUAAAUCCUUGACUGUUGUUUUAUUAGCUUUUGGUUGAAAUUGAUAAUAAAUGAAUGUGUUGAUCUCCUAUGGUUAGCCAGAAUUCAGAUGC